rnacentral:rRNA from 1 species
UGGGGAAUUUUGGACAAUGGGCGCAAGCCUGAUCCAGCCAUACCGCGUGCGGGAAGAAGGCCUUCGGGUUGUAAACCGCUUUUGUCAGGGAAGAAAUCUUCUGAGUUAAUACCUCGGGAGGAUGACGGUACCUGAAGAAUAAGCACCGGCUAACUACGUGCCAGCAGCCGCGGUAAUACGUAGGGUGCAAGCGUUAAUCGGAAUUACUGGGCGUAAAGCGUGCGCAGGCGGUUUUGUAAGACAGAGGUGAAAUCCCCGGGCUCAACCUGGGAACUGCCUUUGUGACUGCAAGGCUUGAGUGCGGCAGAGGGGGAUGGAAUUCCGCGUGUAGCAGUGAAAUGCGUAGAUAUGCGGAGGAACACCGAUGGCGAAGGCAAUCCCCUGGGCCUGCACUGACGCUCAUGCACGAAAGCGUGGGGAGCAAACAGGAUUAGAUACCCUGGUAGUCCACGCCCUAAACGAUGUCAACUGGUUGUUGGGAAGGUUCCUUCUCAGUAACGUAGCUAACGCGUGAAGUUGACCGCCUGGGGAGUACGGCCGCAAGGUUG